UGAACAGAAAGAAAUCUCAUUACAGGGAGAACUGGGAACUCCAUGAUAAGAAAGGGUUACAUAAUUAGCAGAAGGGAGGAGCUUCAAAUCCUGGCAAUCUAACACAGAGAUUGUUCACUUAAGACUACACAGUACUACUUGUGAAACAAAACUGGCAGAAGGUAAUAAAGUGAAAAGGCUGAAGGGGCAUGGAAAUGCAAGAGGCCAGCGAGCCAGUGGAGAGGGCGCCUCCGCCUUCAGUCCCAGUCAGCUACACUUACACGUUC